GCCGGUAGCGGGGUCUCGGGCGCCGGCAGCGCAGCGAGGUUCCCGGGGCCGGGCCGGGCCGGGAGCGGGUCCAUGGGCCGAGUCCUGCCGCGCUGCGGGGCGGCGCUGGGCCUGGCGCUGCGCCUGCUGCUGCUGCUGGGGGCUGUAGCCCUGCGGGGGGGCCACUCCCGCCUGCACUCCAGGCGCGUAUUGGACACAGUGGUGUCGGAGCCCGGCCCGGGGCUGCCCUGGUACAGCCGUGUUGUGUACGUGGACGAUCAAGUCAUCUACGUCUACACCAGCGGGAUGCAGAAGGCAGAGCCUCGCCCAGUGUGGAUGGCGCAGAACGAGGGCCCGGAGUUCUGGGAGGAGAGGACCUGGUGGGCACAGCGCCACCAGAAAUGGUUCAAAGCCAGUCUGAACACCCUGGGUCAGCUCUACAACCAGAGUGAGGGGUUUCACAUUAUCCAGAUGAAAUACGGCUGUGAUCUCCGGGAAGACAACACCACUUGGGGGUUUUACCAGGAUUCCUAUGACGGGCGAGACUUUCUUACCUUCGAUAUGGAGACCAUGACUUUAGGAGCAGCAGAUAUUGGGGCUCAGAUCACCAAAAGGAGAUGGGAUGCUGAAGUAUUUGACAACCAGCAGUGGAAACGCUACUUGGAGGAGAGAUGUAUCCCCUGGCUAAGACGUUCUCUAGAGUACGGGAAGGAGACUCUCCAGAGGAAAGUGCGCCCAACAGCUAGAGUGAGUGACAGGUCAUCUCAUGACGGCCUCACCACCCUCUCCUGUAAGGUCAGUGGGUUCUACCCACGGGACAUCACCGUGACCUGGCUGAAAAAUGGGGAGAGCAGAGAGCAGGUGACCUACUCUGAAGGCAUCCUACCCAGUGGGGAUGGGACCUACCAGACCUGGGUGGCAAUGGAGAUUGACCCCACGAUCAAAGCCCAUUAUUCAUGUCACGUGGAGCAUGAAAGCCUGUUAGAGCCACUCUCUGUCCCCUGGGAACCAAAUAACAGUCUGAUUCCCAUUGUGGCUGGAGUUAUCACUGCAGUUGUCCUGGUUGGUGUUAUAAUCGGAGUAGUCGUCUGGAAAAAGAAACGCCCAGGGAGAAAGGGAGACGCUACGCUGUAGCUCAGGGAAGUAACAAGAAAUAACAACAAGAACAACACAAGUAUGUGUUGGAGCAAAUGACCAGGGAUCUAGUGGCUCUGCCGUGGCUGCCAAGGCUUAACAGAGCCUGUUGGAGUCUGUGCCACAACCUGAGGGGAUCCCAGAGAGGAAGAUGGAUGAGCUCUGCUCUGUCUCCCUACAAGAACCAAUCAGCCUCUCCCUAGCUUUUGCCUGGCACUUGGAGCAUCCUGCGUGGGAUUUCUAGGCUCAUCUCUCUGCUCACUGACCCGUUUUUGCUUUUCAGAUGUAAUAGUUUUCUGUAAUAAUGUUUUAUUUGCAGAAAAUAAUUUCCAAAAAUUUAAUGGAUAAAAACCCCUUUAGUAAGAGUUUAAUAUUUGCUAUCUUUAGUGUGUGCACUCAGUGCUCUGUGCUGUGCUGUGCUGUUUGCACACCCUGUACCAUAUGCUAGAUAUGUGAGCAGUAACUGCUUGUGUUUAUAUGGUGGGGGAUGUAUUUUUUUUCUGUAGAAUUUCAUGAUUAUAAGAUGGUAAAUGCCCUUGUAUACUCACAGCUGGUAGCGCUGUUGCCAUCAUCAGCUGAGGACAUCUGUUGGACAGGAAUAAGUGUCUGCAAUUAGUUUAUAGGUGCCUCUGUCCUUUUCACCAUUCACAGAGCCAUAGAAAUGCUGAGCUAGAAGGGACCUCAAGAGGUCAUCAAGUCCCGCCCGUGAUCUCGGGCAGCACCAAGUAAACCUAGACCAUCCCUGACAGGUGUUUGUCCAACCUGUUCUUAAAAGCCUCCAAUGAUGGGGAUUCCACAUCCUCUCUAGGCAACCUGAAAUGGGGCAUUUUUCUAACGUUGCAUAUGUAUACUGUGUGUGCCUUAGUUUUCCCCAUGUGCUGCAUGUCUAGCCAAGGUGGGAGGGGGCGUCUAUUGUUGCAGGGAACAAGGUGUGACCCAGUCCAGCAGCCUGAACCCCAGACCAUGGCCUGGACACUUUGUAACUUAGCGACUGAUGACCCAAAGGCCCAUCCCAACUUGGAGCCAGCCAGUUUUGGGCAGCAGAGAGAACAAAGAGCUGAAGAGAGAGUCUUUGCCUAGGAAAGAAGACAAAGGAUGGAGGUGGGGCCUUGGAGGUGACACAGGGUGGGCCGCAGAAAGGAGGAGUCACUUCUGGGCUGGGAACAAAGAGCGGCCUGAGCCCACCUGGACGGGGACAGACCCAGAUGGACGCCCCUGAGAACGUCUUGUGCUGUGCUCCAGACGUACAAUAAACACUUCUGUGUUGCACUGGCUGAGAAUCACUGCAGGCUAGAGAGAGGCAGGCCUGCUGGAGGCUUAGAUGUGCAGUAUUGGGAGGUGGAGGAGAAGCCUACAGCUUAAACCCCGAGCAAAGAGUGUGACCUUACGUAGGGUCAGUACUCUGAAGGGCGGUUCCUUCCAGGGGCCAUACGGCACCAAGAGAGCACUGGCCUGAGAGUCUGUGACAACCUGUUCCACAGUGAACUGUCCUUAUAGCUAGAAAGUUUUUCCUAAUGUCUAACCUAAAUUCCCCCUUCUCCUACUAUCAGUGCAAUUGGAGAACAAUUGAUCACCAUCCUCUUCAUAGCAGCCCUUAAUGCAGGGGUAGUUUAAUUAUUUUUUGUCAAGGUCCAAAUUUCUUGGUCCAGAUAUAGUCACGGUCCAGAAUCAAGAGAAACAUUUUUCACACCACAAGUGCCCCUGUUCAAUGAACACACACACAAUGCUGUGAAAUGUACCCAGGGCCUAUAUUGUUUAUAUUUUAGUGCAUUAAAUGAAAAAUAAAACCAAAUCCUUGUACAGCCUAAAAUAACCUCUAAGAAAGAUGUAAUUUAUCUGAAACUUUGAGAAAGUAUUUAGAAAAAUGUCAAAUACAUGCAAAUAUUAGCAUUAAACUGUUGCCUGAAAGUA